UGCCCAUCAACUUGUGGUGCGCACCUAGAGCGGGCUCCCCGCGGGCCGCGCCAAGCCCCACCCCUCCUAUGCUGCCCAAUGAGAGGCUCGAGUUUACGUCUUGGACCCUCCCACGGACGACGGAGGCCUCGCUGGGCCACGCCCCCAACUUUCCCCAGCGCCUGCCGUGGUGUCUGAGUGGUAGAGCAGCCGGGCCCCUCGCCCGCCUGCUGGGCUCCCGCCUGUGAGCCGCCGUGUGUAGACGGAGGAGGGGGUUGGUGUUGGAAAGGCGGGGGCCUGGCCAGCUCGUUUGCACACCGCCCCCUGACAGAACCUUCUAGUGCCUUCCAGCGUCUGGGGUGACCCGACUCCCACCCCGGGAAGCAGGAAUCCCACCCUUACGGAAAAGCCAUCAAUGAGGAAGGCUCUGUCCCUGAGACGGAACAGGAUAUGAGAGAUGAUGGGCCUGUACUCUGAGUUCCAUCCAGACAGCGGCUCUGCACCCCCAAGUUCCACGAGGUCAGCAUCACAGGCCCUGAAGCUCGGAUGGCAAUUCUGGGGUCUCACAGCAGCAGAGCCAAGUGGGAGAGGUGUGCCACUGGUCCCCAUGUUGUCACCAAGGGUUACUGGUCUGUAUAAGCUUGGAGAUUGGGAGUAGUGUGAGCAGGACAAGGUUUCUCUGUGUAGCUCUGGAUGUCCUGGAACUCACUCUGUAGCCCAGGCUGGCGUCAAACUCACAGAGAUCCGCCUGCCUCUGCCUCCAAGAGUGCUGGGAUUAAAGGCGUGCCCAGCACCGCCCGGCUCUCUGGACCAUGCUUUCUGCUGGAAGCCUGUACAGGGAUGUGGAGAAGAAAGAGCCUGAUUGGCCUGACCUUGCUUACACAUUCCUCCGCUGGCUUUGGAGCCUGCGUCGUCUCUGGAGUCCUGCAUGUCCUGAAGAUCAACUGAGACAUCCAGCCCCCUGGACUGAGCAAAUGCUGGAUCCUUGGGCCUUCCAUUCGUAACCAGCCAUUGUUGGAUUAGCUGGACCGCAGCCUCUAAGUUACUCUAAUAAAUCUCUUUUCUAUA